CUGAGCUUCAAGACAAUUAUUUUGAACUCUCCAUCAUAUAUUUUACAGACCUCCAUUUCUUUGCGAUUAUCCACUUGAGUUUUAUUUUACACCUUUGAUCGUGUCUUAUUUCCUUAAUCAUUUAUGUUUCCGGAAAACUUGCAUUGCUAUAUUUGCAUUUGAAGAAGCAUUCACCUUCUCUAUUCUUUACUGAAUGACUUUGGAGUAAAAGACCUUCACCAGUCAACUUGGUUAGAAAUUCUGAGGGUAUCUCAGAUUUUUUUUUUCUUUAUAAUGGAUGCACCUACUCCACUCCUCUUAUUUCGUCUUAGGGAGAAGUCUUAGAAUCACGUACCUUCUCUGUAUUACAAGAAGCUAUACCUGAUGCUGAGUUUUUAUUUUAUUUUAUUUAGGACAGUACCAUAAAAUAUUCAGUGUUGUGUGCUUUCUCCCAAUCAAGCUGAAUCAAGACGGCUGCAAAAUUCUGCACCUGUUGUUAAUAUCCAUAUGCUAUCGAUGGGAUAUUCCAUAUACCAUCUGUGGAAUACACAGGGUGUCUUAACAGGGAAAGCACAGGUGGCAUGCAGGGUGCUGUGGGUGCUUGUUAGCUUACAGAGGGGUCUGCAGGUGAGUUGUUUCGUAGGGUUUAUGGGCAGACCUUUGGUGAAACCCACAAGCUGCUUAGCAAGAACCACAGCCAGCUGUUGAGAUGUAUGUGCAGGUUGCUGUGAGUUCCUACCCCUAACUCAUUCCAGAUAAUUCAGCUGUGCUGAUUUCCUUAUUGAUCUGAGUGAGAUGAGACAGAAGUAGCCUCUAAGCAGCAUCUUUCAAGACUGGAAAAGCUGAGUGGUCAUUUUUCUCUCACUUUCCCCUACAGGAGAAUUUGCAGGCUAAGGAAGGCAUAUUUCAGCACUAAGUUGCCCCACCCUGGAAAUGGGGUGACAUAAAGUAAAAUUGCUCUUUACCAUAUCUCAUGAGUUCAUUAUCAGACUUUUUUCUCCACUGGGGUGCUGACAUUUCACAGCUGAACUAUAUAUUACUCAAAAAGUUAUACUUGUCUUUGGGUAGUUUCCAAAAUCAGUGUUUUUAUGGGCUGAUGAGGGCUGGAACGUCCUAUAACACAAUAUUGCCGACAUUCUAUUACUAUGUAUUUUAUAUUUACUAUUAUAUUAUGGAAUACCUUUAGAUAUCCUUAUUUACCUAGUUUCUCAUUUUGGGGUGUCGCUUCAAAAAUGUGUUUCUACCCGGUGACUUUUAUAAAACAAUAUUUUAAAAGGUACUAUCAAUUCAGAUUUUUCUAUUAUUUUCUCCUCUGUUAUACCUUUCACAUAAAAUUUUAAUUAUACUAUUAGUGGGAAGUGCAUAUCCUUAUUGAAAAAGAUAUUAAGCAAUCUAUAAUCAAGUUUCUCCAUUAAUUAUCAUUAAAAAUUAUUAGUACAGACAUAAAUUUUCAAUUAAUGCUCUUUUAUAAAUAUGUUUUGUAAUAAUAAAUUAUUUAAUAAUAAAAUAUAAAUAAUUUAUAUUUUCCAAGGUUUUGCAUACCUCUUGCAGGCUAUUCUCCCAUCUGUUAGAUAUUUUAUUUACAUAUUUUAACAUAAACACAAGCAUUAGAUGAACAUGAUUUGAUCAACAAAAUUAAUAUGAAUACAUUCUGUAAAUGCAUGUCAUAAAGUAUAAAAAGUUUGUACAGUAGUAAUAGAGAACGUUAUACUUUAAAAUGAAGCUGAAUUAUACAAAAUGUGAUCUAAUAACAUAUCCAAUUAUGUCAUAUGUGGAUCAUAUACCUCAUUAGCUAAUUUAAUACACACACACAACUUGUUAAUGAUGAUGGAAAAUAGUUGCUAAAACACAUUAGCUCUUUCAAAACAUGAACACAAUAGUUAACACAUGUGGGCAACCACUUUGUAAAUAAUCAGCAAAAUUCCCAAGAGCACAAUUAGCUUUUUUACACAAUUGAAGUUGUGUAAUAUGGGCUUUAAAAAGUUCUUAAGCACCCUCUUUCUUUUUGUUUUACACAGUCAUUUAUUAGAUGUUUAUUGAAAUUAAAUUGAACAGAUUGCUUAAUAUUAGGAAAAGCUCCAUUAAUUUGUCUAUCAAUAUAUUUGCUUAUUUUAAUAUAUCAGUAGCAUGACAUGAGGACCCCUGGGCAGAAUCUUUAAUAGUUUCCCACCUGGAUUAGUUAAAUACUUCAACUAGAAGGUACAUCAAUCAUAUAAUUACAAUAACUUUAAUUAAAAAUAAAAAAGUUAUGGUAUCUAAAUGUAUGAUAUAACCAAUUAUUUUUGAUGUCAAAGUCUCCAAUUAUGAUUUGUUUUAUUUUUUAUCAAGUGAAAAAAGUAAUAGUAGCAUAAUUACUUUAAAUAGCAAUUAUUUCUAUUUUCAAGUUUACUUUUAAACCAUUUGUGAUUUUGAAUUUACAUUUUAAUUAAUUUGUACUUUUAAUUUGCUUCCCAGAUGCUUUCAUUUAUUGCUAAAGGUAUAUUUAUUUUACAUGUUAAUUCACAGAUAAUUAAACUAAAGAAAGAGUAAAAUAUCUUACAUGACUGUUUAACUUCAUAGAUUUGUCUUGGAUGCAGUGUUUUAGAGAUUAAGAACAGUUUAUUUUUCUUUUUUUUUUCAGAGCAAUAACCAAUUAAAAUGUCACACACAAAUUGUAGCUGAUGGGCUAUUUGGAUUUCCAGUAAAAUACUGUCAUUUCAACCUAAAGGACAUGCAUUGCAGAAAGACAAGCAGCUACAAUUUAAUAAAUAAAUAAUGAAAGUUUACAAGAGUAGAAAUGAGACAAGUGUAAGAAAACGCUAAAUUUUGCAUACAACUGUCAUUCAUGCUGCAUAUACAACAUAUUUUCUUGGAGUAGUUAUUUCUGUCAUCCAUUUCUUCUUUACAUUUUUCCCAAGUGUCUUCCUGGUUAAAAGUAAUUAGAGACAUAAAAGAGAAAAAAUGGAAAGACCAAAAAAGAGACAGAGAAGGGAUAGGGAUAUUUCCCUUAAAAAAAAAGUCAUAAAAUUGAGUAAUUAUUGUUUUUUGGAGUCCAUUACUCAUAUGUAUAUUCUCAAUAUAUUCUCAAAUAUAUAUAUAUAUACACACACGUGACUGUAUAUAUAUGUAAAUAUAUGUACACACACAUACACAUGCAUAUAAUAUAUGCUUUAUGGUACUGAUAAAUUACAAGCAUUUCUCAAUGAAUAUAACUUUUUAUAAAUGUGAUUUCCCUGCUAACAAAUUUUCUCUUACAGAAAAUGAGAAAAGUCAAAGGGACUAUUUUUUGUUGUUGUUAAUUAGUCUCUGUUGAGAUUUAUUAUAUUUUUUUCAAUGUGAGGUAAAAUUAUAAUGACAUUGGAAAAUUAAAGUGUAUCUUUAAUGCUAAU
rnacentral:lncRNA from 10 species